UACGAAGGGGGCUAGCGUUGCUCGGAUUGACUGGGCGUAAAGGGCGCGUAGGCGGUUUGUACAGUCAGACGUGAAAUUCCCGGGCUCAACCUGGGGGCUGCGUUUGAUACGUGCAGACUUGAGUUCGGAAGAGGGUCGUGGAAUUCCCAGUGUAGAGGUGAAAUUCGUAGAUAUUGGGAAGAACACCGAUGGCGAAGGCAAUCCCCUGGGCCUGCACUGACGCUCAUGCACGAAAGCGUGGGGAGCAAACAGG
rnacentral:rRNA from 1 species